CGCUGGCGGCAGGCCUAACACAUGCAAGUCGAGCGGUAGAGAGGUGCUUGCACCUCUUGAGAGCGGCGGACGGGUGAGUAAUACCUAGGAAUCUGCCUGGCAGUGGGGGAUAACGUUCGGAAACGGACGCUAAUACCGCAUACGUCCUACGGGAGAAAGCAGGGGACCUUCGGGCCUUGCGCUAUCAGAUGAGCCUAGGUCGGAUUAGCUAGUUGGUGAGGUAAUGGCUCACCAAGGCUACGAUCCGUAACUGGUCUGAGAGGAUGAUCAGUCACACUGGAACUGAGACACGGUCCAGACUCCUACGGGAGGCAGCAGUGGGGAAUAUUGGACAAUGGGCGAAAGCCUGAUCCAGCCAUGCCGCGUGUGUGAAGAAGGUCUUCGGAUUGUAAAGCACUUUAAGUUGGGAGGAAGGGCAUUAACCUAAUACGUUAGUGCUUUGACGUUACCGACAGAAUAAGCACCGGCUAACUCUGUGCCAGCAGCCGCGGUAAUACAGAGGGUGCAAGCGUUAAUCGGAAUUACUGGGCGUAAAGCGCGCGUAGGUGGUUUGUUAAGUUGAAUGUGAAAUCCCCGGGCUCAACCUGGGAACUGCAUCCAAAACUGGCAAGCUAGAGUAUGGUAGAGGGUAGUGGAAUUUCCUGUGUAGCGGUGAAAUGCGUAGAUAUAGGAAGGAACACCAGUGGCGAAGGCGACUACCUGGACUGAUACUGACACUGAGGUGCGAAAGCGUGG
rnacentral:rRNA from 1 species